rnacentral:lncRNA from 1 species
UUUCUUGCAACUAUUUGUAUUCUGUUUCACUUUUAUACAAGUGUGUUUGAUACAAACCGAAAGCAUGUACAAUAUCAUAAUUUCUUUUUCCUUCCAAUUGAAACCUAGAAGACGUAUAUACAAAGGAUGCAAUAAGAUUUGAUCAGUUGAGACUUGGGAAUAGAUGUUGACAUUUGAAUUACUUAUAUAAGGAGAAGCUAUCAAUACUUCAAGAUAGCAAAUAGCUUCCCCUAGAGAUAGUCUGCGA